rnacentral:rRNA from 1 species
UACGUAGGGGGCGAGCGUUGUCCGGAGUUACUGGGCGUAAAGCGCUUGUAGGCGGUCCACCAAGUUUGGGGUGACAGUUGCCGACUUAAUCGGCAAAGUGCCUCAAAGACUGGCGGACUUGAGGGCCACAGAGGGACAUGGAACUCCAGGUGUAGUGGUGAAAUGCGUAGAUAUCUGGAAGAACACCGGUGGCGAAGGCGGCGACCUGGUCCGAUACUGACGCUGAGGCGCGAAAGCGUGGGGAGCAAACAGG